UAGGGAAUCUUCCACAAUGGACGCAAGUCUGAUGGAGCAACGCCGCGUGAGUGAAGAAGGUUUUCGGAUCGUAAAGCUCUGUUGUUGGUGAAGAAGGAUAGAGGCAGUAACUGGUCUUUAUUUGACGGUAAUCAACCAGAAAGUCACGGAUAACUACGUGCCAGCAGCCGCGGUAAUACGUAGGUGGCAAGCGUUGUCCGGAUUUAUUGGGCGUAAAGCGAGCGCAGGCGGAAUGAUAAGUCUGAUGUGAAAGCCCACGGCUCAACCGUGGAACUGCAUCGGAAACUAUCAUUCUUGAGUACAGAAGAGGAGAGUGGAAUUCCAUGUGUAGCGGUGGAAUGAGUAGAUGUAUGGAAGAACACCAGUGGCGAAGGCGGCUCUCUGGUCUGCAACUGACGCUGAGGCUCGAAAGCAUGGGUAGCGAACAGG
rnacentral:rRNA from 1 species